rnacentral:pre_miRNA from 1 species
CUAUUUGCAGAUGGAGCAUCAUCAAGAUUCACAUAUUAUAUAUUGCAAUUGAGGGUGGUGUGAUGUAAUAAUCAUUCAUUGUCAAAAGCUUUUGAGUUGUUGAGAAUCUUGAUGAUGCUGCAUUAGCAAUAAG